GUGUGAAGAUUGCAGACAAGCUUUAUCCAAGGAAAUCUGGCUCUCGAAGUUCGGAGAGCGAUGCCUCUUUGGUUUUCGAACAAGCAAUCCUGUCGGGGAUUUGGCUUUCGAGAUUCGAAGAACGGUGCCUCUUCGAUUUUUGAGAAAGCAAUCCUGUUGGGAGUCUGGCUCUUGAGAUUCAGAGAGCGGUGCCUCUUCGAUUUUUGAGAAAGUAAUCAUGUUGGGAGUCUGGCUCUCGAGAUUCGGAGGGCGGUGCCUCUUCGAUUUUUUAGCAAGUAAUAAUGCUAUUCCUUUACCCUUCUUGGUCAUAGCAAUGUAGUGGGAGCUGCAAGCUUCACAUGUUUUAACUUUGUCAGAGCGCUUUGAAAAAGUGGUAUGUGGUAUCUGGAAAGCUGAUGUUGCGUGUGAAGAUUGCAGACAAGCUUUAUCCAAGGAAAUCUGGCUCUCGAAGUUCGGAGAGCGGUGCCUCUUCGGUUUUCGAACAAGCAAUCCUGUCGGGGAUUUGGCUCUCGAGAUUCAGAGAACGGUGCCUCUUCGAUUUUUGAGAAAGCAAUCCUGUUGGGAGUCUGACUCUUGAGAUUCGGAGAGCAGUGUCUUUUCGAUUUUUGAGAAAGUAAUCAUGUUGGGAGUCUGGCUCUCGAGAUUCGGAGAGUGGUUCCUCUUCGAUUUUUGAGCAAGCAAUCUUGUUGGGAGUGUUUUCUCGAAUGUGAGUAAAGGUU
rnacentral:lncRNA from 1 species